UACAGAGGGUGCUAGCGUUGUUCGGAAUUAUUGGGCGUAAAGGGCGCGUAGGCGGCUUGGCAAGUGGAUGGUGAAAUCCCUCGGCUUAACCGAGGAACUGCCGUCCAAACUGCUUAGCUUGAGACCGGGAGAGGUGAGUGGAAUUCCCAGUGUAGCGGUGAAAUGCGUAGAUAUUGGGAGGAACACCAGUGGCGAAGGCGGCUCACUGGACCGGUACUGACGCUGAUGCGCGAAAGCGUGGGGAGCAAACGGGG
rnacentral:rRNA from 1 species